UCCAAGACUUAUUUACAGUUGACUCUUGAACAAUGAGGGAGGGAGGGGCACUGACUCCUUCAUGCAGUCAAAAAUCCACCUGUAACUUUUGACUCGCCCAAAACUUAACUUCCAUUGAACAGAAGACUUGCCAACGCCGUAAACAGUGGAACAACACAUAUUUUGUAUGUUGUAGGUAUUCUAUAUUGUAUUCUUGCAAUAAAGUAAGCUAGAGAAAAGAAAAAAUUAUUAAGAAAAUCAGAAGGAGGAGAAUAUAUAUUUACUAUUCAUUAAGUGGAAGUGGAUCAUCAUCAAGGUCUUCCUUCUGGUCAUCUUUAUAUUGAGUAAGCAGAGGAGGAAGAAAAGAGGAGGCUUUGGUGUUACUGUCUCAGGAGUGGCAGAGAUGGAAGAAAAUCCAGGAAUAAGUGGACCCACACAGUUCAAACCCAUAUUUGAAGGGUCAACUGUAUAUUGUCACAUAUAGUAGAUUUAGAUCAUUCAUCUUAGCUGGUGUGCACAGUUUCACUGCAUAUGUAUAAUGCAAGUUAUUAAUCCAGUCUCUCUUUGUUGUUGUUGUUGUUGUUUUGAUACGGAGUCUCAUUGUGUUGCCCAGGCUAUAGUGGUGUGAUCUCAGCUCACUGCAACCUCCGCCCCCUGGGUUCAAGUGAUUCUCUUGCCUCAGCCUCCUGAGUAGCUGGGAUUACAGGUGCCCACCACCACACCCAGCUAAUUUUUGUAUUUUUAGUAGAGACAGGUUUCACCAUCUUGGCCAGGCUGUCCUUGAACUCCUGACCUCGUGAUCCACCCGCCUCCCAGUCCCGUUUUGAUGGACACUUGCGUUGCUUCCAGUGGCUGCUGCUGUACACCUUGCUGCCGUGAUUAGACCAUGUGCAUCCGGAGCCCUUUCCUUUCUUUUGGUGGCCACCUCUCCUUGAGGGGCCUUGUGACCGUGCCGAGAGCAAGAACUCUGCAACUGGGCUGACUGGGUUCAGAUUCCAAAUCUGUAAUUUACGGGCUGAGCAACUGAGCAAGUUGCUUAAGGACGCUGUUUUUUCAUCCAGAAAAAUGGAGAUAAUAGCAGUACUUCCUUUAGAGGUUGUUGUGAAGAUUAACCUAUUAGUGUCUGUGAAGCGCUUAGUACUAUGAGGUGUUUAACAUAAUUAUUAUGCAGCUAAAACUUGAACAUGGGGAUGUGCUUACUUAUUUGUGGGAGCUACAAAUUAAAACAAUUGAAUUUAUGGAGACAGUAGAAGGAUGGUUACCAGCGACUAGGAAGGGUAGAUGGCGGGGUGGAGUUAGGGGAGAAAGAGGGGAUAGUUAAUGGGUACAAAAAAAUAGUUAGAAUGAAUAAGAUCUAGUAUUUGGUAGCACAACAGGGUGGCUAUAGUCAACAAUAAUUUAAUUGUACAUUUAAAAAUAACUAAAAUAAUAUAAUUGGAUUGUUUGAAACACAAAGGAUAAUUGCUUGAGGGGAUGGAUACCCAAUUUACCCCGAUAUGAUUAUUAUGCAUUGCAUGCCUCUAUCAAAAUAGCUCAUAUGCCCCAUAAAUGUAUACACCUACCAUGUAUCCACAAAAAAUUAAAAAUGGAAAAACAUUGAGCAUGGGAGGUGUGAGUGGAGCUGUCCCAGCCUCGUCUCCCAGGCUGUGCAACUUUGAACAGGUCACUGCACUGCUCCGGGUCUCACCUUCUACAUCCAUGAAAUGGCGGUGUCGUAAGGAUGACAUGAGAUGAUGUGUAGCCUGUAACGACACUCGACUAGGAUUCAUUUUUCUUGUCCCACUUCUUUUCCUCACCCUUGUGAGGUCAUUCAGGCACAUGUCAUUCAGUCACCUUCUUCGACAGAUAAGUAUACUGUGGCUCGGAGAGGUGGAGAGACUUUCUGUAGGUCACCCAGCGUGUCAGAGGUGAAUAGACUCUGCAGGCAAUGUCCAUGGGGUGGGUAACAGUGGUUGUGGUUGCCACACCUUGGAGCCAGCUCAGCUCCUCCUGUAGACCCCAUUAAACAGCCCCUGUCCCUGACCUCCAAUCCUACCCUCCUCACUUAGCCUCCAAGCUUGGCCACCCACUGUGUUCUUGUGAUGAGGUGGAACAGACACAGUCAUCCACGUGGCCUCUUAGAAACAGCCACCAAAUGCUCCCGUAUCGUAGCAACCACAGAAUCAAAACAAGCUCUUAAUGAAAGAUCAAAAAAGACAGGGAGCUGGAAAGCCCACUCCCUGAACCAGCCAGCCCUCUGAAGAUUCCUACUGCUGGGGUUUCAGUUCAGGGAGUUUAUUUGAUUUGCGUCUUCAACCUCCCCGCUCCACAUUGUUAACUUCUAGCAGACUGUGGCUGGGAGCCAAGAAGUGGGUUUUAAAUACACAAAAGGAAACAGAGCAUGGCGAGGUCUGGAGGACAGAAGCCAUCAGAGAGUGGGUGUUCCGGGGGGUGGCGAUCAUAGAGGCACUGCACCACGCCUGGAGCCAGGGAAUGACUUUUGCUUGGCCCUUGAAGUUUCUAGAGGCUGAACUUAAGCGCUGCAGCCCCUUGUACCCACUGCUCAGCCUUUAGUUGGCUUCUUGCAGUGAAAUCCCAAAAGGGAAAGCCGGGAAGGCCCUUAAAGACCACUUGAUCCAGUGGUUUCCAAACUUUUUUUCUUUUUUUUUUUUUUGAGAUGGAGUUUAGCUCUCGUUGCCCAGGCUGGAGUGCAAUGGUGUAAUCUUGGUUCACCACAACCUCUGCCUCUCAGGUUCAAGUGAUUCUCCUGUCUCAGCCUCCCAAGUAGCUAGGAUUACAGGCAUGUGCCACCACGCCCUGCUAAUUUUGUAUUUUUAGUAGAGACGGAUGGGGUUUCACCAUGUUGGUCAAGCUGGUCUCGAACUCCUGACCUCAGGUGAUCUGCCCCUAUUAGCCUCCCAAAGUGCUGGGAUUACAGUCAUGAGCCACCGCACCUGGCCCCAAACUUUUUUUUUUUUAAGCAAAGAAAUUGUUUCCUGGAUAACCUCACAUAAAGCAUCCCAGUAUGUAAAGCAGAUAAUAGUGUUGGAAGUGACAACCUGGAAUUCUGUCCAUGGGGACUCUUCUCCUUGUACUCCCACACACAGAAACCCUUCAGCUUAUGCUUCCAACGUCAGUGUCCAAAGAAACUUUAGACAAAUCCAGCCCCUUCAUUCACAGAUGGAGACAUUAUUGUUAGUUGUAGUAAAUGUUAGCUAACUACCAGUACUUACACUUUAAACGUGCCUGGCAUAGGAGAAUGAUUUUAUAUGUCUGAUAGUAUCAAAUCCCCACAACUACCUGAUAAACUAAGUAUUAUAAUGACCCUCAUUUUGCAGGUGAGUAAACAGAAGUCUAGAGAGGUACAAUCACUUCCGAAAGUCACCCAGCUGGUAAGUGGUGAAGGCAGAAUUCAGAGCCCAGUGUGGCUGACUCAAUAGCCUGUGCCAUCCACCCCUACAUGAGUUGCCCAGGGAGGUUAGAGACUGUCCCACAGUCUCAUAGGAGCUGAGCAGGGACAACGAGGUGGCCUGGUGUGGAGGGAAGGUCACGGGUGUGUGGGGCUGGAGCUCUGGGUCCAAGAUGUUCAUCAGCUGCCUGUCCUGGCUGGUAAGAGACUGAGGGUGAGUGGUCAGUGAGCAUGAGAGGGGGAAGGGAGCCUUGGGAGACCACACUGGAGAACCUGGAACUAGGGAGCUAUAGCAGGUGUCUGAGCUAGAGAAUUAAUCCUACUGUUGGCUGCACAUCAAUAUUGGGACAAUAGGCCCAGAUGUGUCAUUCCUAAUAAUCACAAUGGGGCAGGAUGGUGCUCAAAGCACUUUACUGGCAUGAUCUUAAUCAUCACAAAGCCUCUAUGAGAGAGGUGAUGUCAUGAUACCCAUUUUACAGAUGAGGUCGCUGGGGGCUCAGGGAAGUGAAGUGCUUUGUCCAGGGUCACGUGGCUGAAGAGUGGGGGAGCUGACACUUGAAGCCAAGACUGGCUGACUUUCAAGCCCACAUGCCUCUGUCAGUUAAGUGUGGUGAUGGUAAUGCUGUGUAACAAACAAUCCCCCAAAUCUCUGUGCUGUAGGACAGAUCACCCACUCUAGGGAAGCCAGCUGCCAUGUCGUGGGGAUAUUCAAGCAGCCCAGUGGAGAGACCCAUGUGGUGAGGACCUGUGAUCUCCAGCCAGCAGCUGUGUGAGUGGCCUAUCUUGGAAGCAGCUCCUCCAGCCCCAGUUCAGUCUUCAGAUGAGACUGCAGCUGCAGCUGACAUCCUGACUGCAACCUGAUGAGAGACCCAGAGUCAGAACUGCUCAGACUAAAGUUGCUCCUGAAUUUCUGACCCGCAGGAACUGUGAGACAACAACUGUUUAUUGUUUUAAGUUGCCAAGUUCUGGGGUAGAUUUGCUUGCAGCAAUAGAUACGAAUGCUGUGUCUAAGUAUUCUGCCAACUCACUGCUGCCAUAGCAAGGCCCAUCAUAACAAGCGAGGCUUGGAUGGAAGCAGCUUUGUCUUCUACCCAGAGAACCAGCAAAAUCCCAACAAUUUACCAAGAUUAGAGAACCAAAAAUACCCAUGGAAACUAUAGUUGUUAAGAAACAUCUGUUUUUGAGCUGUCUAAAUUGGGUAGUUCUCAAAAGGAAUAAAAAUGUAUCAGAGGAUGGGGACAGCUGGGUGGGGACUGAUGCCAACUGCCUGGCAGGCUCAGCUGGUCACUCGGGUUCCUUCUCAGAGCUGAGGCAGGGAGAAAGAUCCAAAUAAAGAUCUGAUGGGGCAGAUUAGACAGAGCUGCCUGUAGCAAGGCACUGAGGGCUGUGUCCAGCUGCAGGGGCAGUACUUAAGCUUACUGCACCCCUACUAUGUGCCAGGUGCAGGGUGGGCACCUGCAUGUGAGGACCAGGGAUUGGGGUGUUGGAAGAUUUUGGCUUUUGGCCAGGACUAAAGGGUGAGAGGUAGUAUGGAGAAGGAAUUAAGGCCCUGUGGAGAGGCCUGGGCUUAAAUCCUGGCAUUGAUGUUUACCAGCUCUGAGGCUUGUACGUGGCCAAUCACUUAAACACUCUGGGCCAGUUUCCUCAACUGUAAAACGGGCAUAGUCACAGUGCCUACUUGAUCCAUCCUUGUGUUCCUCUCAGGCUUGCUUUGUAAGACUCCUGGACUCCUUAGGUUUUAUCAAUCCUGGUGCCCUUCCAUUGUAUCACAUCCUUGGAUCACAGUGAUGGGUUCAGGAAUAGACACAUGACCCAAGGGAGGCUAAUCAGGUGAAUAUAGGGAGAUGUUCUUUCUUUCUUAAGGUGGCUACGUUUAGGACAUGAGCCAGGGUUGCCAGUGUCACCCAUCACAUGUACCAUAUGAAUAACUCUUGUCUAAGAUCUGGCAAGAGAUGGUGGAGCCUAAUGACAUUGUUAAAGAUCCUGGAUACAGCCAUACCUGAAGCGUAUCCAGAAUUCCGGCUGAGUAUCUGUACUAGUCAAUGUUCUCCAAAUAAUAUACACAGGCAUAACUCAGAGAUACUGUAGGUUUGGUUGCAGGCCACCUCAAUAAAACAAAUAUUGCAAUAAAGUGGGUCAUAGGAAUUUUUGAUUUCCCAGUGCACGUAAAAGUUACACUAUAGUGUAUUAAGUGUGCAAUACCAUUACAUCUAAAAACCACUGUACAUACCUUAAUUAAAAAUACUUUAUUGCUAGCAAUCAUCUGAGCCUUCUGCAAAUUGUAAUCUUUUUGCUCGUGGAGGGUCAUGCCUUGAUGUUUAUGGCUGCUGACUCAUUAGGGUGGUGGUUGCUGAAGGUUGGGGUGGCUGUGGCAGUUUCUUAAAAUAUGACAACAAUAAAGUUGGCCACAUUGAUGGACUCUUUCAUUAAAGAUUUCAUGGAAGCAUA